UUUGUGUAUAAGGUGGAUUAGUUAAGUUGUUUUAAGUAUUUUGGAUUGUUUUAUUUUAGUUUGAGUUAAUUAAUCCCAUAUAGUCAAGUGUAACUCAUUUGGGCUUAAGUCUUGUCUUAGUGUUAUAACAAGAAUGAGUCCAUAACUAUAUGGUGCUACAAAUAAUUAGUGGUGUUGGUUAAAAAGAUUGGAGUUACAUAACAAUUACAU
rnacentral:lncRNA from 1 species